UACGUAGGGUGCGAGCGUUGUCCGGAAUUAUUGGGCGUAAAGAGCUCGUAGGCGGUCUGUCGCGUCGAUCGUGAAAACUUGGGGCUUAACCCUGAGCUUGCGGUCGAUACGGGCAUGACUGGAGUUCGGCAGGGGAGACUGGAAUUCCUGGUGUAGCGGUGAAAUGCGCAGAUAUCGGGAGGAACACCAAUGGCGAAGGCAGCUUGCUGGGACGGUACUGACGCUGAGACGCGAAAAGCGUGGGGAGCAAACAGG
rnacentral:rRNA from 1 species